AGAGCGAACGCUGGCGGCAGGCUUAACACAUGCAAGUCGAGCGGAUGUAGCAAUACAUCAGCGGCAGACGGGUGAGUAACACGUGGGAACGUACCUUUUGGUUCGGAACAACACAGGGAAACUUGUGCUAAUACCGGAUAAGCCCUUACGGGGAAAGAUUUAUCGCCGAAAGAUCGGCCCGCGUCUGAUUAGCUAGUUGGUGAGGUAAUGGCUCACCAAGGCGACGAUCAGUAGCUGGUCUGAGAGGAUGAUCAGCCACAUUGGGACUGAGACACGGCCCAAACUCCUACGGGAGGCAGCAGUGGGGAAUAUUGGACAAUGGGCGCAAGCCUGAUCCAGCCAUGCCGCGUGAGUGAUGAAGGCCCUAGGGUUGUAAAGCUCUUUUGUGCGGGAAGAUAAUGACGGUACCGCAAGAAUAAGCCCCGGCUAACUUCGCGCCAGCAGCCGC
rnacentral:rRNA from 1 species